CUCCAAUUCAUAUUUGGCCUUGCUGACUGAGCUAGCCGGCCGAACUUUCCUGCUUUUUUCGGCCGAGAAAUCGAUCACCGGAGGUGGCGCUGAAGACGAUAUCGGUUUUGGUGACAGUGCCAUAGUGACAGUCCCAUCAGGUGAAAGCCUGAAUGGAAAAAAAAGGUAAAAUUAGGUUGCCAAGGGAUGAAGAAAUUGUCCAGAAAAAGGAAAAAGAUAGAGUGGCCUAAGCCAAGCAUCACCUUUAUGUGUUAUGGCAAACAUAAUCUGGUACAAGCAAAGAUAUUAAUAAAUACAACACCAAAUCUUACAAACUCCAAAAUUAAAAUCUAAUUUCAAUUUUUGCAUCUUUGUUUUUAACCCAUUUUUGCACCACAUUUAUAAUUUAUUGUUCUGCUUGGUUUUUGCUGUUAGAGAGAAAGAGAUAGAAGGAAGAAGAAGACUAACCCCAAAAAAAGAAAAAAGAAAAAAAUGAUAAUAAUAAAAAAAUUAAAAAAGGAAGAAAAAAGAAAAUAAGACAGUGUUUGGCUGUUUGCAUAUAUGGAAAAUCGUGCAAACCCUCAAAUUUUAAUACUCUCUAAAAUAUUAGAGCAUAUGGGUACCACCCAUUUGGAAAAAAGUGUCUGCUCUUUUAUAUUUUAUUCUUUAUUUCUCCUCUUAUUUAUUUUUAUUUGGUAAUGGUAUCGAUACACAUUCUUUUUUUGCUAUUGGCUGGAAAACACCUCAGUUACUUAUAUUAUUAUAUAAAAAAAAAGCAUUACUUAUUAUUUCAAA